GAUGAACGCUGGCGGCGUGCCUAAUACAUGCAAGUCGAGCGAACAGACGAGGAGCUUGCUCCUCUGACGUUAGCGGCGGACGGGUGAGUAACACGUGGAUAACCUACCUAUAAGACUGGGAUAACUUCGGGAAACCGGAGCUAAUACCGGAUAAUAUAUUGAACCGCAUGGUUCAAUAGUGAAAGACGGUUUUGCUGUCACUUAUAGAUGGAUCCGCGCCGCAUUAGCUAGUUGGUAAGGUAACGGCUUACCAAGGCAACGAUGCGUAGCCGACCUGAGAGGGUGAUCGGCCACACUGGAACGGAGACACGGUCCAGACUCCUACGGGAGGCAGCAGUAGGGAAUCUUCCGCAAUGGGCGAAGGCCUGACGGAGCAACGCCGCGUGAGUGAUGAAGGUCUUCGGAUCGUAAAACUCUGUUCUUAGGGAAGAACAAAUGUGUAAGUACCUAUGCACGUCUUGACGGUACCUAAUCAGAAAGCCACGGCUAACUACGUG
rnacentral:rRNA from 1 species